AAACCCUCUGCCUAAUUUGGAAUCCAGGACGUCUGGAAAUCGUCGCCGCCCUCCGCCUCAUCUCCACCGGCGGCGCUGCCCAUCUCCGUCGCCGAAAUUCCCAACCGCUUCAAAUUUUCACCAAAUGAUCCCCAUUCUCCAGUCAUCCCUAAUCUAUCAUCAUCUUCCCCAAAAGCCCCGCCAAACUCGCCAAAUGAACCUCUCCUAAUGAGCGCCAUCAUUUCUUGAUAGUUUGGGAAUAUUGCGGAGCGGCCGAAAUCUGGUCAAAAUCCAUUUGACGGGCCAGUUUUCAUUCAAAACCUUCACACCUUCACGAUUUCUGAUCAAUGAAGCAUUUAUCUAAUUUAAUAUUUUUGAUUGAAUACUCAUAGAUCAGAAGUCUUUGGUAUGAAGGUACAAGUCUAUCGGGGUUCUCAAUCUAGUUUGUCCAAAAUUAGUUACUUUGUUCUGGUUAGUCUUAGUUUGCCCGCAUAAUAACUUAUUGAUUAAUGCUUAGGAUAAGUACUUAAUCCAAUAUUUGCAUGAUUAAUUAAUUACUUGCUUUGAUUAAUUAAGGUUUCGAUUGCACUUGAGUUUGUUUGUUUGCUUUGAAUAAUUAGACUACGGUUUGGUUUUGGUAUAAGAUAUGGGCAUGCUAGCCAAAGACCCAAGCAACCUCUAGUAGUCAAAUGCAAUUUACAAGAACUUAGAGGGUUUAAGUGGAGAGUUCAAUUGGAGAAAAUAAUUGUGUAACCGCGUUUGAAGCUUCUAGAAGGUAAAAAAAGAGACUUAUCAGCCAAUUAAAAGAUAAAACAGGUCUGAAUUUGAAGGGGCAAAGAAAUAAAAACAGAAAGUAAGAGGAGCUAAAAGAAAAGGAAAUAAUAGAACAACUAUACAAAAUCUGUUAUAAAAGAUGCCUUCACCUCACACAUUCACAGAGAUUCACCCAUUUCUACUCCUCUCACACUCACGCAUCUGCACACACACUUUCCCUCAGUUAAAGCCAACUUUCAAAAAUUCAACAAUAUUAGAAACUAUAUCUAGAAAACCAAAAAAAAAAAAAAGAGUAAAGUUCUGGAAAAAUAAGACAAAGGAAGAACAAUAGAGUUUUGUAGAUUACUUUGGAUUCAAAUAAUUCAAAGCCAAAACUGUAGUUGCUUGCUGUUGGUUUGAAGUGAUCUUCCCCCAGUUUUCCUGGGUUUCGAGCUUUUAUUCAUCUGAUUUGAGACUGUUUCUGCUGUUUCAUCACUGCUGAAUUUCAUCUUCUCAAUUUUUCUGUUGCUCUCCUUGCUACUAUGUAUGUUCUGCUCGUUUGUAAUUAGUUUAUUGGACUUGUAAAUGGAAAUGUUGAAUUGUUCAUAUCGAGUCUAUGCUUAACCUCAUGAUUUCAGCCAUGUAUCAUCAUAAAAUCUCCUUUUAUUUGUUUUUGUUUGCCCACAACUGAUCCUGUUUGCUAUGCUUUGAGUUAAAACUAAGUUGGAGCUAUGUAUUGAUUAAUAUGAAUGCUACUAAACAGUAAAUCUGAAAUCUGAUUUAUUCAAUUAAGUUAAUGCUUGAUCUAUUAGAUUUAGCAUGUUUAGUCUUAAAAUCUAUUUGAAUUUCUUUCUCUUGAUUAAUGUUGAUGCCAUGAACGUGUUUUGGUUAUUUGUUCAAACUGUUCAGUAGCAUUUGAGUAAGUUAACACCUGUUGUUGACAGUAAUUCAUCUCCUAAAACUAUGAUUCGCACUUGAAUUGAUCUCACAUGUUUAAGCUAAUUCUAAUUAUUGUUUAUCUAUUAAUUAAUGCUAAUUGCUUCCCUGUAAAUCGAAGAUCUGUUUGAAAAGUUGAACGCAUGCGAUUCAGUGAAAACCAUUUUCACGAAAGCUAUUGGAAAUGGA
rnacentral:lncRNA from 1 species